rnacentral:rRNA from 1 species
GGGUUGUGAGGUUAAGCGACUAAGCGUACACGGUGGAUGCCCUGGCAGUCAGAGGCGAUGAAGGACGUGCUAAUCUGCGAUAAGCGUCGGUAAGGUGAUAUGAACCGUUAUAACCGGCGAUUUCCGAAUGGGGAAACCCAGUGUGUUUCGACACACUAUCAUUAACUGAAUCCAUAGGUUAAUGAGGCGAACCGGGGGAACUGAAACAUCUAAGUACCCCGAGGAAAAGAAAUCAACCGAGAUUCCCCCAGUAGCGGCGAGCGAACGGGGAGCAGCCCAGAGCCUGAAUCAGUAUGUGUGUUAGUGGAAGCGUCUGGAAAGGCGCGCGAUACAGGGUGACAGCCCCGUACACAAAAAUGCACAUAUUGUGAGCUCGAUGAGUAGGGCGGGACACGUGGUAUCCUGUCUGAAUAUGGGGGGACCAUCCUCCAAGGCUAAAUACUCCUGACUGACCGAUAGUGAACCAGUACCGUGAGGGAAAGGCGAAAAGAACCCCGGCGAGGGGAGUGAAAAAGAACCUGAAACCGUGUACGUACAAGCAGUGGGAGCACGCUUAGGCGUGUGACUGCGUACCUUUUGUAUAAUGGGUCAGCGACUUAUAUUCUGUAGCAAGGUUAACCGAAUAGGGGAGCCGAAGGGAAACCGAGUCUUAACUGGGCGUUAAGUUGCAGGGUAUAGACCCGAAACCCGGUGAUCUAGCCAUGGGCAGGUUGAAGGUUGGGUAACACUAACUGGAGGACCGAACCGACUAAUGUUGAAAAAUUAGCGGAUGACUUGUGGCUGGGGGUGAAAGGCCAAUCAAACCGGGAGAUAGCUGGUUCUCCCCGAAAGCUAUUUAGGUAGCGCCUCGUGAAUUCAUCUCCGGGGGUAGAGCACUGUUUCGGCAAGGGGGUCAUCCCGACUUACCAACCCGAUGCAAACUGCGAAUACCGGAGAAUGUUAUCACGGGAGACACACGGCGGGUGCUAACGUCCGUCGUGAAGAGGGAAACAACCCAGACCGCCAGCUAAGGUCCCAAAGUCAUGGUUAAGUGGGAAACGAUGUGGGAAGGCCCAGACAGCCAGGAUGUUGGCUUAGAAGCAGCCAUCAUUUAAAGAAAGCGUAAUAGCUCACUGGUCGAGUCGGCCUGCGCGGAAGAUGUAACGGGGCUAAACCAUGCACCGAAGCUGCGGCAGCGACACUAUGUGUUGUUGGGUAGGGGAGCGUUCUGUAAGCCUGUGAAGGUGUGCUGUGAGGCAUGCUGGAGGUAUCAGAAGUGCGAAUGCUGACAUAAGUAACGAUAAAGCGGGUGAAAAGCCCGCUCGCCGGAAGACCAAGGGUUCCUGUCCAACGUUAAUCGGGGCAGGGUGAGUCGACCCCUAAGGCGAGGCCGAAAGGCGUAGUCGAUGGGAAACAGGUUAAUAUUCCUGUACUUGGUGUUACUGCGAAGGGGGACGGAGAAGGCUAUGUUGGCCGGGCGACGGUUGUCCCGGUUUAAGCGUGUAGGCUGGUUUUCCAGGCAAAUCCGGAAAAUCAAGGCUGAGGCGUGAUGACGAGGCACUACGGUGCUGAAGCAACAAAUGCCCUGCUUCCAGGAAAAGCCUCUAAGCAUCAGGUAACAUCAAAUCGUACCCCAAACCGACACAGGUGGUCAGGUAGAGAAUACCAAGGCGCUUGAGAGAACUCGGGUGAAGGAACUAGGCAAAAUGGUGCCGUAACUUCGGGAGAAGGCACGCUGAUAUGUAGGUGAAGUCCCUCGCGGAUGGAGCUGAAAUCAGUCGAAGAUACCAGCUGGCUGCAACUGUUUAUUAAAAACACAGCACUGUGCAAACACGAAAGUGGACGUAUACGGUGUGACGCCUGCCCGGUGCCGGAAGGUUAAUUGAUGGGGUUAGCCGCAAGGCGAAGCUCUUGAUCGAAGCCCCGGUAAACGGCGGCCGUAACUAUAACGGUCCUAAGGUAGCGAAAUUCCUUGUCGGGUAAGUUCCGACCUGCACGAAUGGCGUAAUGAUGGCCAGGCUGUCUCCACCCGAGACUCAGUGAAAUUGAACUCGCUGUGAAGAUGCAGUGUACCCGCGGCAAGACGGAAAGACCCCGUGAACCUUUACUAUAGCUUGACACUGAACAUUGAGCCUUGAUGUGUAGGAUAGGUGGGAGGCUUAGAAGUGUGGACGCCAGUCUGCAUGGAGCCGACCUUGAAAUACCACCCUUUAAUGUUUGAUGUUCUAACGUUGACCCGUAAUCCGGGUUGCGGACAGUGUCUGGUGGGUAGUUUGACUGGGGCGGUCUCCUCCUAAAGAGUAACGGAGGAGCACGAAGGUUGGCUAAUCCUGGUCGGACAUCAGGAGGUUAGUGCAAUGGCAUAAGCCAGCUUGACUGCGAGCGUGACGGCGCGAGCAGGUGCGAAAGCAGGUCAUAGUGAUCCGGUGGUUCUGAAUGGAAGGGCCAUCGCUCAACGGAUAAAAGGUACUCCGGGGAUAACAGGCUGAUACCGCCCAAGAGUUCAUAUCGACGGCGGUGUUUGGCACCUCGAUGUCGGCUCAUCACAUCCUGGGGCUGAAGUAGGUCCCAAGGGUAUGGCUGUUCGCCAUUUAAAGUGGUACGCGAGCUGGGUUUAGAACGUCGUGAGACAGUUCGGUCCCUAUCUGCCGUGGGCGCUGGAGAACUGAGGGGGGCUGCUCCUAGUACGAGAGGACCGGAGUGGACGCAUCACUGGUGUUCGGGUUGUCAUGCCAAUGGCACUGCCCGGUAGCUAAAUGCGGAAGAGAUAAGUGCUGAAAGCAUCUAAGCACGAAACUUGCCCCGAGAUGAGUUCUCCCUGACUCCUUGAGAGUCCUGAAGGAACGUUGAAGACGACGACGUUGAUAGGCCGGGUGUGUAAGCGCAGCGAUGCGUUGAGCUAACCGGUACUAAUGAACCGUGAGGCUUAACCUUACAACGCCGAAGGUGUUU